UACGAAGGGUGCAAGCGUUAAUCGGAAUUACUGGGCGUAAAGCGUGCGCAGGCGGCUUUGCAAGACAGAUGUGAAAUCCCCGGGCUUAACCUGGGAACUGCAUUUGUGACUGCAUGGCUGGAGUGCGGCAGAGGGGGAUGGAAUUCCGCGUGUAGCAGUGAAAUGCGUAGAUAUGCGGAGGAACACCGAUGGCGGAGGCAAUCCCCUGGGCCUGCACUGACGCUCAUGCACGAAAGCGUGGGGAGCAAACAGG
rnacentral:rRNA from 1 species